rnacentral:rRNA from 1 species
GACGAACGCUGGCGGCGUGCCUAAUACAUGCAAGUAGGACGCACAGUUUAUACCGUAGCUUGCUACACCAUAGACUGUGAGUUGCGAACGGGUGAGUAACGCGUAGGUAACCUGCCUAUUAGAGGGGGAUAACUAUUGGAAACGAUAGCUAAUACCGCAUAACAGUAUGUAACACAUGUUAGAUGCUUGAAAGAUGCAAUUGCAUCGCUAGUAGAUGGACCUGCGUUGUAUUAGCUAGUAGGUAGGGUAAAGGCCUACCUAGGCAACGAUACAUAGCCGACCUGAGAGGGUGAUCGGCCACACUGGGACUGAGACACGGCCCAGACUCCUACGGGAGGCAGCAGUAGGGAAUCUUCGGCAAUGGGGGGAACCCUGACCGAGCAACGCCGCGUG